AUGAUUCUAAUCAUAUGGAAUUCAUUUGUUCCAAAGAAGUCACGAGAAUCCAAGCAUAUACUAUUCUCUCCGAUCCGUAUUACUUGUGAGCUCAAACGGAUGUAUUUAGAGUGGUAUUGUAUAUUUUCACAAGAACAUGAGUUUCUCAUAGCACAGAGUCGCGAAGUCCCAAACCAGAUUGCUUCCUUCCUCAGUUCGGAGCUCUCCUCACUUCACAGUGUUUCUAUGCUUUCUACACCUGGGAACGCCAAUCUGGAAAAAAGCCGGACAGCCGUUCUUCAAAAUUUGAUUCUCCAUCCCCUAACACCUCCACGACAAAUCUUAACAGAAUGGCGAGACUUACUUAUGGUUGAACUGUAUGCACGUCCUGUUCCCGAUCGACUUGUACACGGCAUUGAUUUCUCUCACAAAGAAACAAAGCAGGCAGAGAGACAAAAAAAAUCAAUAAGUCAGCAAAUACGCGUGAGCUAUGCUCAACCAGUAGAUGCCAAAUGGCGACCACCGGCCAGCGGAGGAAUUUCCAUAGGAAGGCCCGUACAAUGCAAAGAAAACUUUGCCGUACGGUCCCGCCUCAGCAUAGAAGUCGCCAACAAGAAGGGACGCAGUUCCAGCCCAUACUGGCCACCGUUAUCGAAAGUUCCAGAGCAUACCACGUGA
rnacentral:rRNA from 1 species